UAGCUUGUACAGAUUUAACGUUUGUAAUCCUUCUAAUAGUUUUUUUAAUUGAUUUUACAGCUAAACAGCUCUGUGGAUUUGACAUUUAUCUUGGAUGUUCUUUGCAAAAUUCUCUGAAAAAUAGAGUCAUUUCUGCUGAAGAGCUGAAAUCGAUGCCGGAAAAACUUAGUUGCGACAACUUCAUGCUUUUGAUUGAUCCAGAAAAUUGUAUCAUCCGUGUGGUAUUUCGAGAACACGAAUCAGCUCAUGAUGUCAUCCAAGCCUAUUUCACUGCUGUCUGUAUGGCUAUCAUGCUCUCUGUCUCCAAGACAACGAGAUUGGCUCAUCUUCCUGAUCCAGCCAUGAUCAACAAAAAUCCAGGAAGGAUUAUGAGUGACGUUACUCAACCAUAUGAUUUCCUUGUCUGCACGGGUAAAAGUUAUUCUGGAGGAAUACCCUCAGAAGAACAAAUUGCGAAAGUUUUAGAGUCAAAUAAUGAAAUAAGUAAAGCUUUCAAAAUCUUCAUGGACCUCUUGGAAACUCAAGGGUGGAAGACCGAUCGUCACCAUUUCAUUGUUGAUGAGUGGAGAGCAUCGUGGCCUUUGUAUCGAUCAAGUGACAACAGAUCAGAAACUGGAAAGAAAAAGUGAGAAGUCUAAUGAAGGUGGUGUAGCUUAUACCCAGGUGAAUUCUUCAAAAGGUGUCUAACACCAACAUUGAUCAAGCAUCGGUUGAAGAUGUCUUGACACAAGGUCAGUUCUUCCCUCAUAGCGCAAAAGCUAUCUUGCGCCAUGUUAGACCUAAGUUUCUCAGUUUUCAUGGCGAGGCAGACACUAAUUUCACAUUGUCUCUUUCAACUUUAGAGUUUUCAAAACUAUACAAGUGAAAUUCUAGCCUUCCAUACUUGACAAGAUAAUAGUCCUCAAGGCUAUGUUGAUUCAUAGAGAAAAAAAGGAGGUACUUGCAGUUCGGGCAUCUUGGAAUUUUUUAGAUGACGUAGGUCGGCACAGCGACUUUUAUCGUCGAUUUUCUUGGAAGUGGUGUAAUUUAUGGAAAAAAGUCAUGCUAUAAAAAGUGCUUGAUAUUAUAUAAUGAGGUGAUUCAAGCAAAAAAAUGGAACAUUAUGGUCUGUUUUUCAUACUUCAAAUUCCGGAUUUCGCUGGCCAAGUUGUACCAACCUACGUCACAGGGUAAACAAAUCUCAUGACGUAAACACCUCCUUUUGUUUCUCUAUGAUGUUCAUUCGGGCCACAGAGAGUGGCCCCAGACAACAGCCCAAGGUAAAUGUCAUGAGAAAGCAUCUUUCUCCAUCUGAUCAAACUUACAUUGCAAAGACUCGCAAGUGGUUGCAAUGGAUGACUAUUGCCAACUUGAAUUCUUAGAAGAACUGUAACUUUUGUCACCAGGAUCAAAAGCACAUGGUGAUUUAACUGGUCAGAUCGCAAUAUGACCAAAAAUUUUGAGGCCUUUUCGAUUUGAUCGGGCAUUUUGCAAUGCACCUGUACUCCAACUUCUACUCGUAACAUAAACACUCAAGUACUAUGCAUUCCAGGCAGAAUCGAUGGUUUCUAACCUUAUUUCUUCAUUCGCAAUACUGGCAAUACAAAACACCCUUUCAGUUGCAAACCGUACCAACCUCCUCACUCUCUUUCAGAGAGCAAGAAUGGCUCUCUGUUUAAGUGGUCUCUCCCACUCACGGUGUGUCGGAACGAGUUUAAAUUUUUUGACAAGUCACAGCAAAAACUCUUCAGGUUCUUGAAGUAGAGUGUCUACUGAGUCAUUUAAGCCAAAAAGAAAAAAAAUCCUAUCAAGCUCCUGGAAAAUAAAGUCGAUUUAAAGAUAUUUUUGGGCUAAAAUAGUCAAAUUACACAUAUCAAGGCCCGUCAUAUUAUUUAAAAAUUUUUUUCUUCCUGGAUAUAAUGCCCAAGUUUCUUAAACAUGCAUAUUUUAAGCCUUCGAUUACUUAUACUACCAAUUUUAACCAUAUGGUGAAUUUUGGGGGCCUAAAAUGAGCCCUCAGAGCCAAAAAUUGCAUACAUUUUCGAAAACUUCGGAUUUUCAGGGGGAUUUUUUUUUUUUUUUAACGUUGUUUUUUCCACAGUCGUCAAUGAGUAAUUCUGAAGGGCAUUUCCGAUUACAUAAUUGACAUUUUGACUGUUGAGGUGAAGGGGGAGGGGGGCAUCAGGCUUUGCUUUACCUUUCUCACAGUUUAUGAAAAUGCUUGAAAAUUCCCUAUCACAUUGGAAGUCCAAAAUAUCCCUUUUUAAUUCAUUAAUCACUGCUUCUGAUAUCAUGAAAUAUGCAGCAGGAGUUACUGCUCCUCCCCCCCUCCUCCACUACGAAAUGCAUGUAAACCUUGAUCUCUACCGGAUCCUUGCUUUUCGCAUGAUGGCAGUCCGUUGUCUAGCAUAAACUUGUAGCAUGACUUGACUUAGUAGACAUUCUACUUCAAGAACCUGAAGAGUUUUUGCUUGUGACUUGUCAAAAAAUUUAAACUCGUUAUGACGCACCGUGCACUCUCAAAAAGAGUUGGUUUCAGCAAUGCCUUUGCCCGCUUUGUUUGAUCGUUUACGGUUUGUUUCCUUUUUUAGCUUCAAAAUAUAAAUAUUCCAUUCCCUGGUCAGUCCAUGGGGGCUGAAUUUAGUUUAAAACUCAUGUGGUCGGUGGGUGAAGUUGGCAGUUAGUUUUGGCUCUGUUUUUUAAUACAUUUUCUCCUCAUCAGUCUCUAGCGUGGUCUGUCCAUUUUUCACAAAACCUUUGUGUUUUUCUUCCACACCCACGACUGAGGGCGGCAAGUUGUCCUGUCUCCAGACCCAACUUUUGUUCAGCUGCUCAGGUUUUCCAAAUUCAAUUUUGCUUUCACGUAUUAGUCUUGUAGUCACACAUAGUAGCAAUUUGUGCUUGUUGCCUUAUUCUUCUGGAUUAGGAAGGUCAAGAUAACUAAACAAAUCUAGUAACGUUCCCUAAUCAUUUCUGCAAAAUUAUAUUAGUUUAACUUGAUAGCUAUAUUUUAUAGACGCAGUCUGUGAUCUAGUUUGUGAUUUAAAAAAUAAAUUAUUGUACUCCCCGAUGCACAGUUCUAUUUUUGCAUUUAGACUGUCUAUUUUUUGUGAGGAUGUUUGUCUUUUGUCAUCACAUAUUUUCCCCAUUUUUCAUGUUAGGCUCACCGUUGUUUGAUUGAAUACUCCAUUUGAUACUGAGACUUUGUUGGUAUCAAUUGACUCUGUCUAUAUCUUUCUGUCUAAUGAUGAAGAAUAUAAAUGAUAAUUAUAGUAACCAAACUUAACUGUUUUAUUGGUGUAUAAAAAGUAUUUUUAACUUCUUGAAGUUUUUUGCUGUCAUUUCAAAUUAAAUAUCUAUUGAUGUGGGGCAGAUGAUUUUUUAGCCUUGAGUAGCAUUGACUGUUACUUUUGGAAUUUAUAAAUUGUAAAAAAAAGUUUUAAGAUGUGCAAGUCAGGAGACCCUGUUUUGUUCUCUUUAAGUAAAAUUUAUGUAAAGUUGAGAUUUACGUUUAAAAAAAAGUUAUGAAAAAAAAAUUGUUAUCAAAAUUUUGUUAAAUUCUAAAAAUUACUCACAUUGAUGCUAAAUACAAGGUAAACUGCAGAAUAUAUAGCAUGAAAUUCACUUACAUUCUUCGGAAGUUUGUACAAUAUUUGUGAUAAAAUUUACUAAAAUAAAGUGACAAGAAAUUUGUAAAUCAGAAAAGUAACAAAAUCUUGUAACCUUCUAAUAAGAGGGUGAGAUGUAGUUCAGACCAAAAAAUACAACAAGCGGGAAAGCUCUAAUACGUGGGUAUUAGAGAAGCGCUCAGCGGUGAGCUUUCAUAUAUAUUAGGUUAAGAUGAAGAGAAAAAAUGGUCGCCACGGAGACCAUUUAGCAUAGCAUAUGUUUCAACAACACAUAACCUAGAUGUAGGCAAAUUCUACUAAGGUCUCCGAAUAAGGUUAUCACCGGUGGAAAAGUUUUCGGAAAACAGAACGCAAAUCUUGAACUUUCAGAAGUAAUUAUAGGAUAACUAUAAACCGCAUAGCAAAGAGAGUUUUUAGGACUGUUAUUUAUUUCUUACACUAAUUUGCAUUUAAUCGUAUUCACAGAGGUAUAAUGAGGUAAUCAAAAAAUAAAAAAGGAAAAAUGGCGUUUCGGGCAUCGAUGAGUUGGUGCGCCAUUUGAUCGCUUGAGCGCCCUACUAUACUAGAGCUCUAGUGGCAGGUCGAAAUCAAAAAGCGCCGCCUAUCGGCUGAGCGCUUAAAAGCUUCAAGAACUUAAAGGUGAUUUUUCCUGGGUUCUUGGCCUGAUGGAACUGACAAGCUAUAUAUCACAUGGAUUAAUUAGAAAGUCUAGGCAGAAUCUUGACUUUUUAGUCAAUUAAAAGACGAUAGUGCCUGCGCGUGAAUCUAAAGAAUCAUUCUCAAUCAAAAAAUGUUCAAAAUUUAGAGAAAUGAAAGCAGGAUUCUUCUUGGGAUAAAAAACGUUGCAUUUGAUACAGUAGUCCAUCUCUGAAUCAAACUUGACAUUUUUUUCCAAAAAGAAUCUUGCCUUCAUUCCUUUGAACGUCAACAUUUUUUUUGGCCUUUGUCCUUUUUUGACGUAAUGGAUGCUAUAUAUUCGACCAUGCCAAGAACUAAGGAGGAAUUACCUUAAGUCUUUAGCUAAAAUUUGGUUUUUUGUUAUUUUCUGAUAUCAGGGAUAUUUUUUAAAGCACUACAAAGUUGCAUUCCAGAAUCCGUCAUCUGUGAUAGCUACGGCAAUCAAUUUUUCUUUUCAUGAAUUGAGCCCUUUAAAGCCUUGUCCAAGUACAUGAAAUACAAGUGGGAAGCUUGAUUUCUCUCAAUAUUUGUAUUUUUUUAAAAAAAAUUUAUACCACUAACUUUUUAAUUCUAUAACACAAAUAUUUGGCUCUGAAAUGUGCAGAGCAAAUUCUAUGUUUAUGGUAUGUUGUUUGUCUCAGGUAGGUAAUAGUUAUUCUUAAGAUUACCAUAUCUCUGGUCCUAUUAGUUUUUAUGACAUCUCUAUUGUUAUUCAAACAGAAUUUAUUUGACUGCACAACUGUGUCUGGAAAAUUCUAAAUUUUGUGCACUUUCAUUGUUGUAAAGUUUUAUAACUGACUAAAAUUGUUUUGCGUAGCAUCUUAUAAUAUAAUUCUAUGAAUUUUUAUUUU
rnacentral:lncRNA from 1 species